GAGCAUCACAUCAGCACUCAAAAAGUUUCAAAUUUUGGUGCAUUUCAGAUUUUGGAUUUUUGGAUUAGGGAUGCUCAA
rnacentral:pre_miRNA from 1 species